AUGGAAGGCCUACUCCAUUAGGACUUUAACCCCGGCCUCAAGGUCGAGGACCAGGUUCGUAGGCGUUUCAAAUCCACGGUGCACUUCUCUCCCUCUCCUACCUGCAAGGAAUUUUUCUUGGUGGUCACUUUUUCCUCAGCUUCCUUCCCCCUCUCAUGUGCUUCGGUUGGAUUGGCCUUGCAAUGUUGCAUUGGGGGUGUUGCUUCUGGUUUCAAUGUGACCCAUAUUGGUGCAAAGAAUUUUCGUUUCUCUGUCGCCUCGAAUAAAGUGGGUCAUUUCAUCUAUGCUCUACGGGAUAGAGUUUGGCCAGACUUUAUUUGUCACUUUGGGUUAUUCAAACAGCCCUGGACUGCUCCGUUUGAUGGGUCUGAUGGUUGGAAUACGCCGCAUGAAAUCAAUGAAUUAUGGUCCAGAGCACCCAAAGCCAUUCGUUCCAAUCUGGGUUUUCUUGAGCAAAGUGCUUCUAAGGAUAAUUCUUCUUGA
rnacentral:rRNA from 1 species